AAAACAAGCUGAAAUAACUCGGUCAAUGGCAGAAAUAAAUCGUUCACGUUGGUUGCUGGGCUGGUUAGUGGUAUCUUAGUGAUAGUUCUCCUGCCAUUAUUGCUGCUGUGUUGGUAUACAAAAGCAAAGGAUACAUGUUGUCACAGGCUCAUCCAGUCUCAGAGAACCAAUCAGAGCUCCACUACAGUCCAAACUGUCAACCAAGAUGAAACUCAACAGCAACUAUACUCCUCUCUUCUCCAUGGUGAUGUUUGUGUCUACGAAACAAUCGUCAGCUCUGGGAACACUCGAUGUGGUGAACAAGCAGAUGAAUACGGAAAUGGCACAUCUAAGAUUCAGCUCAAAGAUUUUGGAAAGAGGAGAAUGAUACGUGAUGAUACAGCGGCAGGCUCUGACUACAGCAAUGUGAAUCCAGAUUCAACUGCAGGUCCAUAAAGAGAAGUGCAUCAUCAGCAACAUGCAAAACAAGAUUCAUGUUUAAACAGUGUUGAGAGCAUUUAAACAACUGCUGCCAUCCAAACAUCAGACACAUGGUAUUUUGCGCAGUUUGAUAGCAGAUCAUAUGAAAGAAUUACAAUUCUGUUAUAUUUCCUGUUGAUUACUGCGAGAUUUGCUUUUGUAUUUGUACUUAGUUUGAAUAUUUAUGUUACAAUAAUGUAGUAUUUGA